rnacentral:rRNA from 1 species
AUUGAACGCUGGCGGCAGGCCUAACACAUGCAAGUCGAACGAGUGGCGGACGGGUGAGUAAUGUCUGGGAAACUGCCCGAUGGCGGGGGAUAACUACUGGAAACGGUAGCUAAUACCGCAUACCAUCGGAUGUGCCCAGAUGGGUUUAGCUAGUAGGUGGGGUAACGGCUAACCUAGGCAACGAUCCCUAGCUGGUCUGAGAGGAGGACCGGCCAAACUGGAACUGAGAAACGGUCCAGACUCCUACGGGGGGAAGCAGUGGGGAAUAUUGGACAAUGGGGGAAAGCCUUAUGCAGCCAUGCCGCGUGUAUGAAGAAGGCCUUCGGUGUGUAAAGUACUUUCAGCGAGGAGGCGUUACUCGCAGAAGAAGCACCGGCUAACUCCGUGCCAGCAGCCGCGGUAAUAC